rnacentral:rRNA from 1 species
UACGUAGGUGGCAAGCGUUGUCCGGAUUUACUGGGCGUAAAGAGCGCGCAGGCGGUCGUUCAAGUCGCGUGUGAAAGCCCCCGGCUCAACUGGGGAGGGUCACGCGAUACUGAUCGACUGGAAGGCAGGAGAGGGUAGUGGAAUUCCCGGUGUAGUGGUGAAAUGCGUAGAUAUCGGGAGGAACACCAGUGGCGAAGGCGGCAUCCUGGACCAACACUGACGCUGAGUGAGCGAAAGCCAGGGGAGCAAACAGG